rnacentral:lncRNA from 1 species
GGUUACUUGCCAUGGCCAUCUGGCUGGCCCUCGGCCUGCUCUCUCCUGACAUCAAGCCAUCUGAAGGCCAGGCUCUGACGUGGCCACUCCAGGCUCCUUUGGAUUUGGCAGCCGCCUGUCAUUGCUCAGUCCUCAGGCCUCUGAAGGUUGAUCGGCGCCUCCUGGACCCACCCAUGGACUCUUCUUGGCUGAGUUGCUCUUUUACAUUUAUUUGUCUGCUUUUGAUUAAUACUUGUCCCCACCAGAGACUGUCAGCAACAACAAGGACAGUUUUCAGUCACCACUGUAUGCCCCGCACCCAGCUCCAUCUGGCCCCUGCUGACACCCUCCUGGACCUGAGGUCCAGCUCAUGUGGGAGUGGGAGGGAGCACCAGCAGGCCCUGCAGAUGAUGGCUAAUGGAGGAAGGGCCGGCGAGCGAGGAGCAGGCCGGGAGGGGAGAGACGCUGACG